rnacentral:rRNA from 1 species
CUGAAUAACAAGUCACUAAAUUUAGUUUACCCGAAGUAAGAAUAUCUAACUAGACAAUAAGUAUUAGUACUAUGUAAUAAUAAUGUUGCAUAAUUAUUUAACAAUGUUUGGUUAGGAGUGAAAGGCUAGACAAUUCUUAUUGAUAACUGGAUUAAACUUAAAUAUAUUAAGUAUAGUAAAUUCAAAUAAAAAGUACUAAGAUUUUUUAUUUAAAACGGAAGGUAUAGCACCUGGCUAUCUAAUUUAUUAAUAUAAACUAGAAAAUAGUUGUCAUCUAUUUAUUUCUCUUCUUUUGUCUUUUUUCUAUAAGUUUAUAAUAGAAACAGAAUUAUGUAACUAUUUAAUAAUGUUUAGAUAAGUAUUUUUAUUAAAAGGACGUUAGGAACUCGGCAAAACAUUUUUCAACUGUUUAUCAAAAACAUAGCUAACUGUUUUCAUUAUAUAGUUAGUUUUUUCUGCCCGGUGAUAUCUUUUAACGGCCGCAGUACACUGACUGUGCAAAGGUAGCAUAAUAAAUUGGCUUUUAAUUGGAGUCUUGUAUGAAAGAAAUAAAUGGAGAAUAACUGUCUUAUGUUUUAAGUAAAUAAAUUACUCAGAAAGUGCAAAUGCUUUCGAAUAAAUCCAAAAGACGAGAAGACCCUAUAAAUUUUUACAAAAUUUAGUCUAAUACUUAUUUUAUGUUUUUGUUGGGGCAACAUUUUAACAGAGAUUAAAUCUAAUUCUAAUUUUGAUUAAUAUAGAUCAAGUAUUACUAGUGAUAAAAAAAUUACUAUAGGGAUAACAGCAUAAUUUAGUAAAUAAGAUUGUGACCUCGAUGUUGGAUUAGGGACCAUUUAAAUUAGUAAUUUAAAUGUUAAGUUCUGUUCGAACUAUUUUUUCCU